rnacentral:rRNA from 1 species
GAUGAACGCUGGCGGCGCGCCUAACACAUGCAAGUCGAACGGCACCCCUCUCCGGAGGGAAGCGAGUGGCGAACGGCUGAGUAACACGUGGAGAACCUGCCCCCUCCCCCGGGAUAGCCGCCCGAAAGGACGGGUAAUACCGGAUACCCCGGGGUGCCGCAUGGCACCCCGGCUAAAGCCCCGACGGGAGGGGAUGGCUCCGCGGCCCAUCAGGUAGACGGCGGGGUGACGGCCCACCGUGCCGACAACGGGUAGCCGGGUUGAGAGACCGACCGGCCAGAUUGGGACUGAGACACGGCCCAGACUCCUACGGGAGGCAGCAGUGGGGAAUCUUGCGCAAUGGGGGGAACCCUGACGCAGCGACGUCGCGUGCGGGACGGAGGCCUUCGGGUCGUAAACCGCUUUCAGCAGGGAAGAGUCAAGACUGUACCUGCAGAAGAAGCCCCGGCUAACUACGUGCCAGCAGCCGCGGUAAUACGUAGGGGGCGAGCGUUAUCCGGAUUCAUUGGGCGUAAAGCGCGCGUAGGCGGCCCGGCAGGCCGGGGGUCGAAGCGGGGGGCUCAACCCCCCGAAGCCCCCGGAACCUCCGCGGCUUGGGUCCGGUAGGGGAGGGUGGAACACCCGGUGUAGCGGUGGAAUGCGCAGAUAUCGGGUGGAACACCGGUGGCGAAGGCGGCCCUCUGGGCCGAGACCGACGCUGAGGCGCGAAAGCUGGGGGAGCGAACAGGAUUAGAUACCCUGGUAGUCCCAGCCGUAAAC